GUGGGGAAUAUUGCACAAUGGGCGCAAGCCUGAUGCAGCAACGCCGCGUGAGGGAUGACGGCCUUCGGGUUGUAAACCUCUUUUAGUAGGGAAGAAGCGAAAGUGACGGUACCUGCAGAAAAAGCACCGGCUAACUACGUGCCAGCAGCCGCGGUAAUACGUAGGGUGCAAGCGUUGUCCGGAAUUAUUGGGCGUAAAGAGCUCGUAGGCGGCUUGUCGCGUCUGCUAUGAAAACCCGAGGCUCAACCUCGGGCCUGCAGUGGGUACGGGCAGGCUAGAGUGCGGUAGGGGAGAUUGGAAUUCCGGGUGUAGCGGUGGAAUGCGCAGAUAUCAGGAGGAACACCGAUGGCGAAGGCAGAUCUCUGGGCCGUAACUGACGCUGAGGAGCGAAAGCAUGGGGAGCGAACAGGAUUAGAUACCCCGGUAGUCC
rnacentral:rRNA from 1 species